rnacentral:lncRNA from 1 species
GGGCAAUUGUGUUACUGCCCCUUUUUUGGACAUCUGGUAGUGCUUAAAUGUGAGUAUAAAGCAGAGAUGAAGUGCACUUGGACUGCAGAAAGCAGCAGGAUGAAGAGUAAUGUGCAGCUAGGGCUGUUGUGUCUCAGCCUGCUCAUCUUCAGUCUUCAUGGAGAAGUUGUCGAGACAGAAACGAGCAAAGAAUUUCCCCCCCCCAAUUUCGAAGAGCCGGAUCUUCAUCAGCUUGAGAUGUACAGAGUACGACAACAGACGGUCUCCACAGAGAAGGAAAAUCCAGCAAGAACAGUAGCUGUUUUGCCACCAAGUGAGAACAGCAAGACUAAGAGAACAUGGCCACAUCCAGGAGGUCUCACUCCUUUAGGAGAACCAACGAUAUACGUCAAUCACCGCACCAAGAGACAGGAAAAAAGCAGGAAUAACAAAAGGAAAAUACGUCCCGGAAGUCAGAGCCUUUUAAGUAAGACCCCAGCAGACUGCCAAUGUCAAGAGGGAUGACGAAUGAACAAGUUAAAGCAUUAUAUGCGUUCAAGGCUCCUUCCCAGGUUCCCUGAAUCAGGAAAAAAGGAAUAUAUCACCAUGUUUCAUAAAGAGUGUUUCAGGCUCAGGUUAUGCUUGUGAUAAUCAUUUAUAUUUCUAUAGCUUUUCUUUUCCACGUAUAUUUUGGAUAAGUAAUAAUCUCUAUGGAAAAUAAAAUGUAUUUACUGAAUUCUCCCUCGUGUGUAUUUCUUAUUCGCAUCACUAGGGGGCAAUGUUUACCCAAGAGAUGAGCGCUCAAACCAGCUUGGCUUCUGUUAAAACGAAAUGUUUGAUAUCUGUUUAUCUUCAUCUCUUAAUUACAAUAAAGCACUUGUCUUGAAAUGUCACUCUUGUAUUGUGUGGAAAACACUGUAGACGACGAAUGGCUUUCUAUAAAGUUUUAGUUGUACUGCGUUUUUUUGUGAAGGACUUGACAUGUUGAUACUGUCAAGCAUAAACAGUCUAUGUGUGUUGACAGAUUCUGUGGGAUAGAAACUGCAUAACUAUCACUCCUCUUUUGUAUGUGAGUAGUUCUGCCAGUUAAAUGUGCCAGAAAAGAUGUUAGCCUGAAGGCAUACAAAAUAGUAGGCCUAUGUUUUGUGCCAGGAAUUUGUCAAAACACAUUGGCGGUCCAAAGUAAAGAGAAAAGCAACACCCCUUCUUCCUUAUCUGCAUAAUCCUUGAUAAUAACAUAAAAGUGUGCACAAAUUAUUUUAAAUAAAUACUUAAAGAAACUUUAC